GUUGUUGUAGUCCAAACCAUUGUCAUAACAUAGCAAAAAAUUACUGCACACCAAUUGGCAAAAGACAUCUAUACCAAUGGAUACAAAACAUUGUUGUGCGCUACAAAACACAUUCAAAGUACUACUUAUGUGGAUUAAGUUUUCCAAAUACAUACAAGGUGAUACUAACACCAUAAGUCAUGUACAGUCUAAGGUAGUGGAGGCGGAUCACGACCAAGCUUGUCAAACACCAAAGCAUGCAUAUAUUUUGUACUUGUCACAUUCAUAAAUACCUUAGCCAAACCAUUGUCGGAUCGAAAGGCCUUCAUGACUUGCAUGAUGUCGUCCAUGUCUAGUUUCAUGGCUUCUAGUUUCUCUAGAAUCAACUGCCAGUUGACAUGAUUUAGUGUAUCUAGCGUAGCUUGUAUUUCCAUCACUUAAGCAAUUUUUAUAGAUGAAUCGGCAAUCCUCGAUAGGGCGAUAGUACUCUCAUCCAUCGAUUGUGCACGUCAACGCUUAGCUUUGUUGGUCCCUUCUUUGAUGGUAUGCUUACGAGCAUGAACUAGGUUAGGAUCUAUCUCCACAUUUUCCACAUCUACCUAAUUCACACUUUCAUCA
rnacentral:lncRNA from 1 species